AUCCAGACUCCUACGGGAGGCAGCAGUGGGGAAUAUUGGGCAAUGGGCGCAAGCCUGACCCAGCAACGCCGCGUGAAGGAAGAAGGCUUUCGGGUUGUAAACUUCUUUUCUCAGGGACGAAGCAAGUGACGGUACCUGAGGAAUAAGCCACGGCUAACUACGUGCCAGCAGCCGCGGUAAUACGUAGGUGGCAAGCGUUAUCCGGAUUUACUGGGUGUAAAGGGCGUGUAGGCGGGAAAGCAAGUCAGAUGUGAAAACCAUGGGCUCAACCCAUAGCCUGCAUUUGAAACUGUACUUCUUGAGUGCUGGAGAGGCAAUCGGAAUUCCGUGUGUAGCGGUGAAAUGCGUAGAGAUCGGGAGGAACACCAGUGGCGAAGGCGGCCUACUGGGCUUUAACUGACGCUGAGGCACGAAAGCGUGGGUAGCAAACAGGAUUAGAUACCCCCGUAU
rnacentral:rRNA from 1 species